AUUCUGGUUGAUCCUACCAGUGAUAUACGCUCGUCUCAAAGGUUAAGCCAUGCAUGUCUAAGUACAAGCUUCCUAGAAAGUGAAACCGCAUAAGGCUCAGUAUAACAGCUAUAAUUUACAAGAUCCUCAUCCAAACAGUUACUUGGAUAACUGUGGAAAAGCCAGAGCUAAUACAUGCAUUAUGCCGGGACUGUUGGCCUCCGGGUCGGCGGAACUGGUGCACUUAUUAGUUAAACCAAUCGCCUCCGGGCGCUUUGAGUUGAAAUCUGGAUAAGGAUGCCGAUCGUACGGUCGCUUUGCGACUGACGACAGAUCUUUCAAAUGUCUGCCCUAUCAACUAUUGAUGGUAGUGUAGAGGACUACCAUGGUUGCGACGGGUAACGGGGAAUCAGGGUUCGAUUCCGGAGAGGGAGCCUGAGAAAUGGCUACCACAUCCAAGGAAGGCAGCAGGCGCGUAAAUUACCCAAUCCCGGCACGGGGAGGUAGUGACGAGAAAUAACAAUAUGGACCUCUCUAACGAUGGUCCAUAAUUGGAAUGAGUUGAGCAUAAAUCCUUUUGCAAGGAUCAAGUGGAGGGCAAGUCUGGUGCCAGCAGCCGCGGUAAUUCCAGCUCCACUAGCGUAUAUUAAAGUUGUUGCGGUUAAAACGUUCGAAGUUGAUACCCCGUCCAGACUCGCGUCCGUCGCGGGCGCCCGGCCUCUCGGUUGGGACCGUCCGUGUACGCGCUCGCGGCUGCGACUCACAAUGGUGUACCUGGGCGUUCUACUCCGUGACGGGUCAGGACUUGUCGCCGCGACCUCGUCGGUCAAGGUCUUGUUCGACCCAGCUUCAUGGUGCCCGGGAACUCUCGUUUACCUUGAACAAAUUAGAGUGCUCAAAGCAGGCUAGUUCAAAGCGUCCGGUCCUCCGGGGCCGGCGUUGGCCGAGAAUAAUU
rfam:Anopheles gambiae str. PEST whole genome shotgun sequencing project, whole genome shotgun sequence.